CACUUAACACACAUACUAAUUAUUAAUCAGUUUAAUAUUAUUAAAGUGUGAAGUCCUUUAUCCGUCCCGCCGUUAACCGUUUAUUUGUCCUUUUCUCGUGUUGUUCAGUAAUCAUCUUUUGCAAUAUUUUACAAUAUCGCUAUCUGCGCAUUCUUUACGGCAACAUUUAUAAUAAUGGGGGCCGCCAUAGAAAACAAGAUGGGCGUACUUCCCAGAAGAUCUUUUGGUUUGUGAUAUUUCAGGUGCUGCUAUGCUGUCGCUUGUCAGCGGUUCUAAAAUGGAA